UGGGGGAUAGUUUAACGGUAGAACUUCGGACUCUGACUCCGACAGUCGUGGUUCGAAUCCACGUCCCCCAGCCA
rnacentral:tRNA from 1 species